AGUGAACGCUGGCGGUAGGCCUAACACAUGCAAGUCGAACGGCAGCACAGUAAGAGCUUGCUCUUACGGGUGGCGAGUGGCGGACGGGUGAGGAAUACAUCGGAAUCUACUUUUUCGUAGGGGAUAACGUAGGGAAACUUACGCUAAUACCGCAUACGACCUACGGGUGAAAGCAGGGGAUCUUCGGACCUUGCGCGAUUGAAUGAGCCGAUGUCGGAUUAGCUAGUUGGCGGGGUAAAGGCCCACCAAGGCGACGAUCCGUAGCUGGUCUGAGAGGAUGAUCAGCCACACUGGAACUGAGACACGGUCCAGACUCCUACGGGAGGCAGCAGUGGGGAAUAUUGGACAAUGGGCGCAAGCCUGAUCCAGCCAUACCGCGUGGGUGAAGAAGGCCUUCGGGUUGUAAAGCCCUUUUGUUGGGAAAGAAAAGCAGCAGGUUAAUACCCCGCCGUUCUGACGGUACCCAAAGAAUAAGCACCGGCUAACUUCGUG
rnacentral:rRNA from 1 species